rfam:Psychrobacillus sp. FJAT-21963 super7, whole genome shotgun sequence.
AAAACAAUUAUAGCGCCUGAGCUGAAGAAAUUGGACGAAACAGAUCUUCAGCAGACGAGGUGGAGGUUAUCGAAUUUUCGGCGGAUGCCUCCCGACCGUAUUUGCCCGGUUGUUAUUCUUUUUCAUAAACCAUGCAAGUGAUUGUAUGACAGAGGGAAAAGAAGGCAUUCUU